GACGAACGCUGGCGGCGUGCUUAACACAUGCAAGUCGAACGGAAAGGCCCUGCUUUUGUGGGGUGCUCGAGUGGCGAACGGGUGAGUAACACGUGAGUAACCUGCCCUUGACUUUGGGAUAACUUCAGGAAACUGGGGCUAAUACCGGAUAGGAGCUCCUGCUGCAUGGUGGGGGUUGGAAAGUUUCGGCGGUUGGGGAUGGACUCGCGGCUUAUCAGCUUGUUGGUGGGGUAGUGGCUUACCAAGGCUUUGACGGGUAGCCGGCCUGAGAGGGUGACCGGCCACAUUGGGACUGAGACACGGCCCGGACCCCUAGGGGAGGAAGGAGGGGGGAUUUGUGCAAAAGGGGCGGAAGCCGUAUCAAGCAACGCCGGGUGGGGGAUGACGGCCUUCGGUUUGAAAACCGUUUGCGCCGGUGAGGAAGGGUGAGGGAGGGAAAGGGGUAAAGAAGCACCGACAAACUACGUC
rnacentral:rRNA from 1 species